rnacentral:rRNA from 1 species
UACGGAGGGUGCAAGCGUUAUCCGGAUUUACUGGGUUUAAAGGGCUCGUAGGCGGUUUGUCGCGUCGGGAGUGAAAACACCGGGCUUAACUCGGUGCUUGCUUUCGAUACGGGCAGACUAGAGGCAUGCAGGGGAGAACGGAAUUCCUGGUGUAGCGGUGAAAUGCGCAGAUAUCAGGAGGAACACCGGUGGCGAAGGCGGCGUUCUGGACUGUUACUGACACUGAUGAACGAAAGCCAGGGGAGCAAACGGG